rnacentral:rRNA from 1 species
UGGGGAAUAUUGCACAAUGGGGGAAACCCUGAUGCAGCGACGCCGCGUGAACGAAGAAGGUAUUCGUAUCGUAAAGUUCUGUCCUAUGGGAAGAUAAUGACAGUACCAUAGAAGAAAGCUCCGGCUAAAUACGUGCCAGCAGCCGCGGUAAUACGUAUGGAGCGAGCGUUGUCCGGAAUUAUUGGGCGUAAAGGGUACGCAGGCGGUUUAAUAAGUCGAAUGUUAAAGAUCGGGGCUCAACCCCGCAAAGCAUUGGAAACUGAUAAACUUGAGUAGUGGAGAGGAAAGUGAAUUCCUAGCGUAGUGGUGAAAUACGUAGAUAUUAGGAGGAAUACCAGUAGCGAAGGCGACUUUCUGGACACAAACUGACGCUGAGGUACGAAAGCGUGGGGAGCAAACAGG